UCCACCUGCUAAGAGCUAUCCAUCAAACAUCCCCUCAACCGUGUCUUCAGACUCUCUGAUCAACAACAGGAAACUGUGAAGGGAGAGAGAACCGUGAUAUCAGGUCAGAACAAUCAAAUUCUCGAAGCUAUUGGAAGAAAGUGGCUUCACGACACGAAACACUGCUUUUCCUAUUAGAAAUGCCAUCACCGCUCAGAAGUAGGCUCUGACAAGACUUGGAUCCUUGCCUUGGUUCCCUAGGCACGGACUCUGCACCCUCCUGGCCUAGCUGGACCUUCCUGUGGCCCCUCCCACGCUCGCGGGGACCCCCCGACGUCGCAGCGGGCCCUUCCGGAGCGGACCGCGGCCCACCCGCUCUCCGACCAGCGCACCCUUGUCAGAGGCUGGCGACUGCAGCCCGGCAGUUUCUUCUUAACUGAAGAAGUGUGGCCGAAAGGGUGAGAUUUGAACACUAAAAGUUACCAAGCAGAUGGCAGAGUAGCCCUCUUCCACAGAGCUGCCUCUGGGAGCAGCAGCAGCUCCCCGGAGCCGUUCCCGCCCUGGGAGGAUGCGUGGAUGCUGUUAAACAUUCAGAAAA